rnacentral:rRNA from 1 species
CGCGUAGGCGGUAAUGUAAGUCAGACGUGAAAUCCUUCGGCUUAACUGAAGAACUGCGUCUGAAACUGCAUGACUAGAGUGCAGAAGAGGGAAACGGAAUUCCAGGUGUAGAGGUGAAAUUCGUAGAUAUCUGGAGGAACACCGGUGGCGAAGGCGGUUUCCUGGUCUGACACUGACGCUGAGGCGCGAAAGCGUGGGGAGCAAACAGGAUUAGAUACCCUGGUAGUCCACGCCGUAAACGGUGGGUACUGGGUGUGGGAGGUGUAAUGCCUUCUGUGCCGAAGCUAACGCGUUAAGUACCCCGCCUGGGGAGUACGGCCGCAAGGUUGAA